rnacentral:rRNA from 1 species
CAGCAGUAGGGAAUAUUGGUCAAUGGGCGAAAGCCUGAACCAGCCAUGCCGCGUGUCAGAUGAAGGUCCUCUGGAUUGUUAAAUGACCUUUUCUACGGGAAGAAUGAGCCCGUCUGCGGACGGAAGUUGACGGUACCGUAGGAAUAAGCACCGGCUAACUACGUGCCAGCAGCCGCGGUAAUACGUAGGGUGCAAGCGUUGUCCGGAUUUACUGGGGUUUAAAGGGUACGUAGGCGGUUGUGCCAAGUCUGGGGUGAAGUUUGCAGCUCAACCUGUAAAUUGCCUUGGAUACUGGUCGGCUAGAGUAGUGGAGCGGUGGCUGGAAUUUAUAGUGUAGCGGUGAAAUGCUUAGAUACUAUGAGGAACACCAAUUGCGAAGGCAGGUCACUGGUCACUAACUGACGCUGAGGUACGAAAGUGUGGGGAUCAAACAGGAUUAGAUACCCUGGUAG